rnacentral:rRNA from 1 species
AUUGAACGCUAGCGGCAUGCCUUACACAUGCAAGUCGAACGGCAGCACGGGAGCAAUCCUGGUGGCGAGUGGCGAACGGGUGAGUAAUAUAUCGGAACGUGCCCGGUCGUGGGGAUAACGUAGCGAAAGCUACGCUAAUACCGCAUACGAUCUACGGAUGAAAGCGGGGGAUCGCAAGACCUCGCGCGAUUGGAGCGGCCGAUAUCAGAUUAGGUAGUUGGUGAGGUAAAGGCUCACCAAGCCGACGAUCUGUAGCUGGUCUGAGAGGACGACCAGCCACACUGGGACUGAGACACGGCCCAGACUCCUACGGGAGCAGCAGUGGGGAAUUUGGACAAUGGCGCAAGACCUGAUCCAGCAAGUGCCGCGUGCAGGAUGAA